AUACCUUCUGAUGAUGUAUCACUUUCUAAUGUUUUAUAUAAAGGUUAUAUAGUAAUGAUAGAUGGGAGGGAACUAAUAUACGUAGACUUAAUACUUUCAAAUGUGAAGGAUUUCAAUAUAAUACUAGAGAUGGAUUGGUUUGCAACUUACCAUGCAACCUUAGACUACUACCAUAAGAAAGUUGUAUUUAAUAUUCUUAAUGAAAAGCUCUUUACCUCCUAAUAGAAUGGUGUUGUUGAUAACAAGUUAUUGUCAAUACAAUUUGAUUUUCAUAAACUGUUAAAUCUAAUGUGUGAAAAAUAAUGUGUUAGGCAAUAAAAAUAAAGAGAUUAAUCUUC
rnacentral:lncRNA from 1 species